rnacentral:misc_RNA from 1 species
GAUGAAGAACGCAGCGAAAUGCGAUACGUAAUGUGAAUUGCAGAAUUCAGUGAAUCAUCGAAUCUUUGAACGCACAUUGCGCCCGCCAGUAUUCUGGCGGGCAUGCCUGUUCGAGCGUCAUUUCAACCAUCAAGCCCCCGGCUUGUGUUGGGGACCUGCGGCUGCCGCAGGCCCUGAAAACCAGUGGCGGGCUCGCUAGUCACUCCGAGCGUAGUAAUACAUCUCGCUCAGGGCGUGCUGCGGGUUCCGGCCGUUAAAAAGCCUUAUUAACCCAAGGUUGACCUCGGAUCAGGUAGGAAGACCCGCUGAACUUAAGCAUAUCAAUAAGCGGAGGA